UUUAAGCAUAUUAUUAAGCGGAGGAAAAGAAACUAACAAGGAUUCCCUCAGUAAGGGCGACUGAAGGGGGAAGAGCCCAGCAUGUAAAUCUGUGUCAUUUUAUGGCACCGAAUUGUGGUUUAUGCGUAGUAACAUUUGGCACUUUUUCUCUGCAAAGUUUCCUGGAAAGGUUCAGCGACGAGGGUGAUACUCCCGUUCGUGCUUUGAGAAGGUGUCUUGAGUUGCUUCGUUGAAGAGUCGAGUUGAUUGGGAUUUCAGCUCUAAUCAGGUGGUAAACUCCAUCUAAGGCUAAAUACUAGUGGUAAACCGAUAGCAAACAAGUACCGUGAGGGAAAGAUGCAAAGAACUUUGAAAAGAGAGUUAAAGAGUACCUGAAAUUGUUGAAAGGGAAGCGAAGGAAACGAGUGGCGAUCAUCAGGUGUUUGCCUUGGUCUACUUUGUGGGCUCAGGGUUGCAUACUGAGUGCCGGUCAGUGUUGGCAUGGCUGGGGCUAGUUGCUUGUCAGGCAAUAUUUUUCCUUCUGGUUAGAUAUCCUGGCUUGUAAUCCUCGGCUGUGUCAAGGUGUCUCACAAACUGCUCGUGACGCUGACGAAAUCGUUUUCUUCUCCCCGUCUUGAAC
rnacentral:rRNA from 1 species